GGUGAACGCUGGCGGCGUGCUUAAGACUUGCAAGUCGAACGGCAGUCUUCGGACUGUAGUGGCGCACGGGUGAGUAACGCGUAACUGACCUACCCCAAAGUCGCGGAUAACGAUUCGAAAGAAUCGCUAAUACGUGAUGUGCUGUCAGAUUGUGUUCUGCCAGUAAAGAUUGAUUGCUUUGGGAUGGGGUUGCGUUCCAUCAGCUAGUUGGUGGGGUAAAGGCCCACCAAGGCGACGACGGAUAGCCGGCCUGAGAGGGUGGCCGGCCACAGGGGCACUGAGACACGGGUCCCACUCCUACGGGAGGCAGCAGUUAGGAAUCUUCCACAAUGGGCGAAAGCCUGAUGGAGCGACGCCGCGUGAGGGAUGAAGGUCUUCGGAUCGUAAACCUCUGAAUCAGGGACGAAAGACACUUCGGUGGGAUGACGGUACCUGAGUAAUAGCACCGGCUAACUCCGUGCCAGCAGCCGCCGUAAUAC
rnacentral:rRNA from 1 species